UCUAAAUGUGUCCCUGGUGGAUGAGAUUAUUCAUGACUUGGAAUAAAAAAUUGAAAUUUAUCCUCCUAAUGCAUACCAAGGAUUGGUAGAUUGGUAAAAGCAAGAAUCAGAAUGAACAUAAUAUCCCCUCUUAAGAGAGGUGCAUCGAUAAAAACAACUUCUGGAGGAGAAGCUUGGGUUAAAUAUCACUGGGAAAAGCAGUUGUACCAUAUAUGUGGUCAAUGUUGGGUCAUGGACCACUCAGAUGAUACCUGUGAGCAACUUGCACUUCAACUGGAUUUUAUGUCUCAAGAGGAGAACGAACUGUGGAGUCUGGAACAAGAAGAAGAUUAUGAAGUUGCUGCUGGCCCCGAAGGAGAAGUUGCAGCUGAUAACAUUCCUGGUGACCCUACUCAUAACCUGGAUGCCAAUAUAGAAAAUGGACCCUUAUCCGUAGAAAUUGCAAGAGAAUAAAUCGAUAAUGCCGAGGAGAGACAAAACAAAAAAUCUCGAAAUGGAACUUCUGAUUCUUCACAAAGCAGCAUCAACGAGAAGAAAUCCAACCCUACUCUUCUCAAAACAUCAAAUCCUCGUCCCAAACAUUCCGAUCUGAAACUCUCUGAUGUCAAGAUGAAAAGCAUCCAGUCUGAGGCUUCUAGCAACCAAAUGGAACCAAUGGAAGGUGUGAAAAUGGAGGAAAUUGAGAAGGAUCAAGCAGUUGAGGAAGAAAUUGCACUGAUUAAUAACAUGGGGGCGGCUAACAAGGGAGUUCAAAAGAUGCAGAACAGUCGCAGGCCAAGCACUUAAUCCAGAAGAAGCUGAAUGCAUAACCUUAAUUGAAACUGUAAAGUAAGGUAAAGCUAGAGGUUAUAGCAAUAUUUAUUUAAGGAGUGAUGCAAAGCAUGUCAUUGCUCUUCAGAAUAAAGGGGUGGGGGAGACCAGAUUAGCUAGUUCAACAAUUCCAUAUUGGAAGAUUGUCAUUUCGUUCUUAGGGAUUUUAUCUAUAUUAAAACUGAGUACGUAUGUUGAUAGAAAUUUUAAUGUGGUGUAAAACUGUAAAUCCACUAUAUAUUAUAAUUUUUUUAACACA